AACGAACGCUGGCGGCAGGCCUAACACAUGCAAGUCGAACGCCCCGCAAGGGGAGUGGCAGACGGGUGAGUAACACGUGGGAACCUUCCCAACAGUACGGAAUAGCCCAGGGAAACUUGGAGUAAUACCGUAUAUUCCCGAGAGGGGAAAGAUUUAUCGCUGUUGGAUGGGCCCGCGUCGGAUUAGCUAGUUGGUGAGGUAACGGCUCACCAAGGCGACGAUCCGUAGCUGGUUUGAGAGAAUGACCAGCCACACUGGGACUGAGACACGGCCCAGACUCCUACGGGAGGCAGCAGUGGGGAAUCUUGGACAAUGGGCGCAAGCCUGAUCCAGCCAUGCCGCGUGAGUGACGAAGGCCUUAGGGUUGUAAAGCUCUUUUGCCGGGGACGAUAAUGACGGUACCCGGAGAAUAAGUCCCGGCUAACUUCGUG
rnacentral:rRNA from 1 species